rnacentral:misc_RNA from 1 species
AAGAAAUUUAAUAAUUUUGAAAAUGGAUUUUUUUUUUGUUUUGGCAAGAGCAUGAGAGCUUUUACUGGGCAAGAAGACAAGAGAUGGAGAGUCCAGCCGGGCCUGCGCUUAAGUGCGCGGUCUUGCUAGGCUUGUAAGUUUCUUUCUUGCUAUUCCAAACGGUGAGAGAUUUCUGUGCUUUUGUUAUAGGACAAUUAAAACCGUUUCAAUACAACACACUGUGGAGUUUUCAUAUCUUUGCAACUUUUUCUUUGGGCAUUCGAGCAAUCGGGGCCCAGAGGUAACAAACACAAACAAUUUUAUCUAUUCAUUAAAUUUUUGUCAAAAACAAGAAUUUUCGUAACUGGAAAUUUUAAAAUAUUAAAAACUUUCAACAACGGAUCUCUUGGUUCUCGCAUCGAUGAAGAACGCAGCGAAAUGCGAUACGUAAUGUGAAUUGCAGAAUUCCGUGAAUCAUCGAAUCUUUGAACGCACAUUGCGCCCCUUGGUAUUCCAGGGGGCAUGCCUGUUUGAGCGUCAUUUCCUUCUCAAACAUUCUGUUUGGUAGUGAGUGAUACUCUUUGGAGUUAACUUGAAAUUGCUGGCCUUUUCAUUGGAUGUUUUUUUUUCCAAAGAGAGGUUUCUCUGCGUGCUUGAGGUAUAAUGCAAGUACGGUCGUUUUAGGUUUUACCAACUGCGGCUAAUCUUUUUUAUACUGAGCGUAUUGGAACGUUAUCGAUAAGAAGAGAGCGUCUAGGCGAACAAUGUUCUUAAAGU